rnacentral:rRNA from 1 species
CCUACGGGUUGCACCAGUGGGGAAUAUUGCACAAUGGGCGCAAGCCUGAUGCAGCGACGCCGCGUGAGGGAUGACGGCCUUCGGGUUGUAAACCUCUUUCGCCAGGGACGAAGCGCAAGUGACGGUACCUGGAGAAGAAGGACCGGCCAACUACGUGCCAGCAGCCGCGGUAAUACGUAGGGUCCGAGCGUUGUCCGGAAUUACUGGGCGUAAAGAGCUCGUAGGUGGUUUGUCGCGUUGUUCGUGAAAACUCACAGCUUAACUGUGGGCGUGCGGGCGAUACGGGCAGACUUGAGUACUGCAGGGGAGACUGGAAUUCCUGGUGUAGCGGUGGAAUGCGCAGAUAUCAGGAGGAACACCGGUGGCGAAGGCGGGUCUCUGGGCAGUAACUGACGCUGAGGAGCGAAAGCGUGGGGAGCGAACAGGAUUAGAUACCCGCGUAGUC